rnacentral:rRNA from 1 species
AAAGGCGAAAGCAGUCACCAAGGGCACUCCCGCUGAUCAAGAGYGAAAGUUAAGGGUUCGAAAACGAUCAGAUACCGUUGUAKUCUUAACUGUAAAUGCUGCCRUCCGGAGACGGGACGCCGUCCUUCUCCACUCCUCCCUUAUUCGGCACGGGUUAAUGACCCGCGCCUACUAAAAAUUCCUCGUUGGAGCCCAAUAGUUACAAUGGGGCUGUCCCAGUCGAGGCCCGACUUGGGGUUUACCACGGCCGUAAGGCCGCGGGAACGCCCCGAAAAUCGGGCACUUUCUGGGGCAGGCCAUUGUAACGCGCGUGCAGCCCAGAACAUCUAAGGGCAUGACUGACCUGUUAUUGACCCGUUUCAAGGAUUUUGUCAACCCUAAUCUGUCUAAGAAGCUACUGAGAGAACGAAUGCUGGCCGGGUUCGGACGCGGGCGAGGGGGGGGGCGAGGAUCCCARAGAAAUCUGGAGUCUCUGGGUUCUGGGGGGAGUAUGGUCGCAAGGCUGAAACUUAAAGGAAUUGACGGAAGGGCACACAAAGAGUGGAACCUGCGGCUUAAUUUGACUCAACACGGGAAAACUCACCAGGUCCGGAUACUCGGAUGACGGACAAGCUGAAAGACUUUUCUCAAUGAUGUAAGUGGUGGUGCAUGGCCGUUCUUAGUUCGUGGAUUGAUCCGUCUGGUCUAUUCCGAUAACGAGCGAGACCCUGUUGUUCCUAGUAGGGACGGAAGCCCGGCCCCAGGGAGACGGCGCGGCGGGGGGGG